CCGUUUGGGACAUCACUAUUUCUAAGGUAAAAAAAUAACAUUGCAUAACAUGCAAACACUAAAACAUUACCUCUUAGAAUGUAACUUGCAACCUCCCCAGUAAUACUGUAUCAUUUCAGCUUAAAAAAACAAAAAACGUUGUUGAUGUGUGGUAUCUCGGUAAAGGAGUUCCAGAGCUCAGGACUGGACCAGCCCACUGGGAUACUGGGAAAUGUCCUGGUGGGCCACGGCACCUGGCGCUGUGCGGCGCUCUAAUUCUGCCCUCACAUAGAGAGGGACUGAGGGAGCCAUUUGGCCGUUUUUAGUAAUAUCGCGGCCACUGGCCGUAUGUAGGUGACGUCAGUCCGGUGUCACACAUAGGG